CAUCACAACACCUAAGUCCCUUUGUGGAUACAGACUAAAGUCUCUACAGAACAGAGCACCACUCCAAGAUCCCACAGAAUCUGAUAAACAUACAAGGAGAAAGAAACACUUUUUAUCUGAUGAAUCUUUUCUGAAAUGAAAAAAAUAUUCUUUUUAAUAUAACUUCCCAUCUCACUGCAACGAAGUGAAGUCGUGCUAAUGGCAGUUUCCCUAAUUAACCAAGGAUUACUUUUUCUGCUAUGACAAGACAGAACAUAAGAGAAGAUUCUUUGCCUCUCCCACCUUGAAAUGUGGACCCUGUGAAUUCUUCAUCAGCAUUGACUUCCCCCAAGAGCUGAAUGUUCAUUGCGUUUUAGAAUUGGGUUAACAAGUAGUGUACAAAUGCUUGAGUAGAGCUGGCUUAUUGAAUUUUUUUCCUAAAAAAAAUUGAAAUUUGACAAGAAAAUUCUUGGUCAAAAAUGUUUUUCACUUUGUUUUCAAAUAUAUAUAUUUUUAAAUAUCUGAUUAUAGUGGCUCUUUGCCCCUGGAUAGGGAUAAAAAGCCCCCAAAAAAUUGGAAUUUCUCAUGGGGUGCAAAUUCUGUUUUCCAGACAAUUCUAAUAUUGAGACACUAGAGCUGAAGCAGAGUUCUAGGGCGUGAGUGAGGGAACCCUAGGUGACAGAAAAGAGAGAGAAGAACUGAUGCUUGGCACAUAGG